GUUUUAGUUCGAAUUAUCUCGGAAUCAUCUUUGUUUGUAUUUUGGCUGUCAAGUCAAAAUGUAUGUUUCGGAUACAAGCAUAUUUCCUCAUUCAGGACUAAGAGUGCGAAUAACAAAUAUGAACGGACAGGAUUUCAUUACAGAGCUUAAAUCUGAUAUGAAGAUAGAUGAGUUAAAGAUAAUAUCAUUGAGUCAUUUUUCAAGUCCUGCAGAGAGUAUGAAAAAAUCCCUAUAUCAUCGUAUUCUUAUGGUGCGUACCGGAAAAGUCUUGUCAGAAGAGAAAACCGUAUUUGAAGAAGAAAUCCAAAAUAAUGAUGAACUCCUCCUUUUGAAGAAAAGGAUGCCAGCCAUGAACUUUGACACCAAAGACCGCACAGCCAGUCAGAAAGAUGAUUCCAAGAAAGUUCCAACUGAAGACAUAAUAAACAAAUUGACAUCAACACUGCCAAAUCCACAACCAGCCAAAGCAUUAGAACAACCAGCCGUCACUGUGGAUUUUCAGACAGAGCUACGAAAAAUACUGAUUUCUUUGAUAGAGGCAGCACAGAAAAUCUUGGAACUAAAUUCAGAGGCUUCCAAGAUAUUCAAAGAUGCUGAAUGAACCCACACAAACAGAGCAGGAAAUUGAUGCUGCAGCAUUGAAAAAGCUGUGUGACAUGGGAUUUCCUCAAAACAGAGCAAAGAAAGCCCUUUUGCUCAAUAGCAUGUCAGUAACAUCUGCCAUGGAGUGGCUGAUCCAGCAUGAAUCUGACCCCGACAUUGAUGAACCACUGCCAGGAACCUCCACAUCUAAGGAAGAAGGUGCAGUUGGUGGGAGGGAAGAGAACUCUUUUACAACCAAUGGUCAUCAAACCACCAACAUUUUACAGUCCCUGAGAGAGUAUCGUAGACGAGAGUUCAAACCUAACCACACAGUAUUGCAAAACCUGAUUGAGAUGGGCUUUGAUGAAAAAGAUGCAUUGGAGGCCCUUCGUAUCAGCAGAAACAACCAAAAUGAUGCUUGCGAGUGGUUGCUAGGGGAGAAGAAGACAAGUUCACAAGAUUUAGAUGAGGGAUUGGACACAAAUGGUGCCGUCUACAAAGCCAUCAUGGCUAACCCACAAGUGCAAUUAGGACUCAACAAUCCGAGAUGUCUAUUAGCUUUCUUACAAAUGCUUGACAGUCCCCUGGCAACACAGCAAUGGUUAUCUGACCCUGAUACUGGUCCACUUUUGGUGCAGGUGUCCAGGAUUUAUCAUGCAGAAAAACAUGCUGAAAUGUGACAUUAUUGCUCCCUUCAAUUUGCUGCUGAACAUUGACAUUUUUAAUUGUCGACAUCUUCUGUGAUAUCAUUUUAUGUUUUUUUGGUCUGUUUUAUUCUUCCCUUGUGCUGCUUUUUAAUUACCUGUAUUUAUCUGUGCUAUAAAUGUUGUAAACAAAAUUACAUUAUAUGGGUUUAAUGUAACAUAAUAUUGCUGCUGAAUCAUCUCAUUGAACAAGAAUUAAACAUUUUGUUUU
rnacentral:misc_RNA from 1 species